rnacentral:sRNA from 1 species
UAAAUUAAUCGAUAACAUCUGAUACGGUC